GAGUGAUUGGGGUGAAGUCGUAACAAGGUAGCUGUAGGUCUGCAGAAGGAUCA
rnacentral:rRNA from 1 species